AGUACAGUCGGGGACGAGUCCAAGAGGCCCUUUGCCAAUUCCAACUGGAACAUCCAACAUCGGACACUAAUCCAGCCAACUGCCAUAACUACAGCUUUGAUUAGACAAGAGACUGAUUUCAACAACUUUCUCCUGAUAAGAAGAUCAUGGACUAUGGAAUGGACUGGUUCUGGUUUACAGAGGCUGUGUACUUGCGUGCCUUGAUGUCCUGAAAGACCUUUUGACAGAUAGGGCCUAAUGGUAAUACAUUUAAAUGUCAAGUCACCAUCCCAAA
rnacentral:lncRNA from 1 species